rnacentral:rRNA from 1 species
GGAAUCUACCCUGUCGUGGGGGAUAACCAAGCGAAAGCUUGGCUAAUACCGCAUACGACCGAGAGGUGAAAGCGGAGGACCGCAAGGCUUCGCGCGAUUGGAUGAGCCGAUGUCGGAUUAGCUAGUUGGCGGGGUAAGAGCCCACCAAGGCGACGAUCCGUAGCUGGUCUGAGAGGAUGAUCAGCCACACUGGGACUGAGACACGGCCCAGACUCCUACGGGAGGCAGCAGUGGGGAAUAUUGGACAAUGGGCGCAAGCCUGAUCCAGCAAUGCCGCGUGUGUGAAGAAGGCCUUCGGGUUGUAAAGCACUUUUAUCGGGAGCGAAAAGCGACGGAUUAAUACCCUGUCGUGCUGACGGUACCCGAUGAAUAAGCACCGGCUAACUUCGUGCCAGCAGCCGCGGUAAUACG